GGACGCUGCCUACCGGUGGCCGGGCGGGAUGUAACCCGCUGCUGAGCUGGCAGCUCUGUGUCGCUAGGCUUCGGCCCGGCCGCCGCCGCACAUAAGCUGCGAGGAGGAGCUUUACGACUUCCCGGUCUUCGGGGCCGGGCGCAGCAAGGGCCAGACUCUGCGCUAGCAGGCGCUGCGCGCCAACCGGCCGGCACCUGUCGCAGAAGGUGCAACCGAUCGCACUGUCGCGCCGAAGCUCCUCAAUGGCCAGCGCCAGCUGCAGCCCCGGCCGCCCACUCGCCUCACCUGAGCCUGGGAGCUUGAAAAAUCACAUUUGAGAAGAGGAUUGGAUCCUAGCCAUAACAUAAAUAUAAGGGUGGAACCAAAGUUUUAAUCAAAGAAGGUGGUGUUCAGUUGCUGCUUACAAUAGUUGAUACCCCAGGAUUUGGAGAUGCAGUGGAUAACAGUAAUUGCUGGCAGCCUGUUAUCAAUUACAUUGAUAUUAAAUUUGAGGACUACCUAAAUGCAGAAUCGCGAGUGAACAGAUGUCAGAUGCCUGGUAACAGGGUGCAGUGUUGUUUAUACUUCAUUGCUCCUUCAGGACAUGGACCAUUACAUAACUGAAGACUCCCACCUUCAGGCAGGAUUGGGUAGUACGUGUUUGUAACUACCUGGCAUUGCCUUUUGUUGAGGUUAGAUCUUGGGACAGCCCACAUACCUAGACAAACUUAGGCUUUCCAGCUUGCACUGGACCAGGGUGGAAAGGAAGGGUAGAUGUCUACCCAAAUGGAAUAUUGAGUAUCAGAGACUUCAAAUGAUAACUUUUGUUUGUUUGGAGAAAAUCUUGAGGACGUGAUCACUGUACAAAAG
rnacentral:lncRNA from 1 species